rnacentral:rRNA from 1 species
CGCGGCCUAUCAGCUUGUUGGUGGGGUAAAGGCCUACCAAGGCGAAGAUGCCUAGCGGGUGUGAGAGCAUGACCCGCGUCACUGGCACUGAGACACUGGCCAGACUCCUACGGGAGGCUGCAGUCGAGAAUCUUCGGCAAUGGGCGCAAGCCUGACCGAGCGACGCCGCGUGUGCGAUGAAGGCCUUCGGGUUGUAAAGCACUGUCGAGGGAGAGUAAAGCGCAAGCUUGAACGACCCCUGGAGGAAGCACGGGCUAAGUUCGUGCCAGCAGCCGCGGUAAGACGAACCGUGCGAACGUUGUUCGGAAUCACUGGGCUUAAAGGGCGCGUAGGCGGCGGGCCAAGUCGGAGGUGAAAGCUCCCGGCUCAACCGGGAAAGUGCCCCCGAUACUGGUCCGCUCGAGGGAGGUAGGGGCACGUGGAACUUCCGGUGGAGCGGUGAAAUGCGUAGAUAUCGGAAGGAACGCCAGUGGCGAAAGCGGCGUGCUGGGCCUCUUCUGACGCUGAGGCGCGAAAGCCAGGGGAGCAAACGGGAUUAGAUACCCCGGUAGUCCUGGCCCUAAACGAUGGGCACUAGGUAGCGGACCGGCAUGGGUUUGCUGCCGAAGCAAAAGUGUUAAGUGCCCCGCCUGGGGAGUACGG